rnacentral:rRNA from 1 species
GACGUAGGGUGCAAGCGUUAAUCGGAAUUACUGGGCGUAAAGCGUGCGCAGGCGGUUUUGUAAGUUUGUCGUGAAAUCCCCGGGCUUAACCUGGGAAUUGCGAUGAAGACUGCAAGGCUAGAAUCUGGCAGAGGGGGGUAGAAUUCCACGUGUAGCAGUGAAAUGCGUAGAGAUGUGGAGGAACACCGAUGGCGAAGGCAGCCCCCUGGGUCAAGAUUGACGCUCAUGCACGAAAGCGUGGGGAGCGAACAGG